ensembl:lncRNA
CUCCGUCUGUGGAAUUCUCCAGGCAAGAAUACUGGAGUGGGUUGCCAUGCCUUUCUCCAAAGGAUCUUCCUGACCCAAGGAUGGAACCUGGGUCUCCUACAUUGCCAGGUCUCCUGUGUCAUUGAUGUGAUGUUUUGACAUAUGUAUCCAUUGGGAAAUGAUGACCAAAACCAAGGUGCAGUAGUGUUUGUUGAAAAAUAAUUUUCAUCAAAUUACAGAGAGAAGGAAAAAAAAAAAACAUAUCAGUAGCACAUCGCUGCAAGCAGAAAAUAUCUCCAGGGAAGCAAUCAAUCUGCAGCUCUGAUACAAGAGGAAAGCCAAUGGUAUUUAUUUCAUCAAGACAUCUUUAUAAAAAUGGAGAAAUUCAGCAUGUGAAUCAUGGCAGCCUCUCCCAAAUAAUCAAAAUAUUCUGUGAGCCUGAGAGUUAACCAGAGAGGCAUUACUAAUCAAACAGCCCUUCUUCUCUUAUGUUCUAAAUUGGAGUGAGUUUCAACCACCUGAAAUGCUGUUUUUAGCAGUGCUCUCUUUUUUUUGAGCUGAGGAAACACAAUUGCUACCAUAGUCUGUUUAGAGAAUUAAAAUCAGUCUUGGUUUAUAGUUUUUGUGGUAAUAACAGUUUUAGUUUUAGUUAAAUUAUCUCAGAGAUCAUCACGUGGAAACCUUUUAACAAAACAAAUCAGGAUGUUUUGGUUUUUUUCAGAUGUUGGAUACAUGCCCCUCUCUCCUUCUGCUCUCUAACAUAACAAGGAUAACAGGAAACAGAAGUGUGAACUCACACUUCAGUAAAAUUGGAGACAUUGGUAACCAGCACUAUUAAUACAUUGUAUGUAGAAACACUGCCAAAUGUAGUGAAGGUCAAAUGAAAAUGAGGGAAGAUGCUGAGAAAGCAUGCCUGAAGCUAGAAUUUCAAGCAAUGGGGCAGAACAUAGUUCUUCAAAGCAGGUUUUAUGAAUUUAACCAAGUGAUCAGAGUGAAUGUCAACCAUAAUGGUGAAGGUCGACAUCAUGGGCCUCCUGAGAAAGGCACAACGUCACUUAUUCCUGUUCUUUCUCCCUAAAAAGUCCUGCCUAAAAUGAAUAAUGAGGAAACAAUGACACAACUGAAACCAAGGCUGUUAUGGACAUCCAAAAGCAAUGGAGUGGCCCCUCACCUAAAAUUUAGACCCAGCAUUGAGACUCAGGAUCUCACACACACACACACACACACACACACACACACACACACACACACACACACAGCGAAAGGGAGAGGCUUAUUUCUCACAUAAUGAAGCUUUCUUGGUUAACUGGAAUUGAUUCCAAGGACACCCAAAAACAGUUUAAAAGAGAACAGGAGACUGAUUUGGGGAUGUUACUGUGAUUAGGAGGGGUCCAGGGAAGGUGGUUCCUCCCUCAUAUGUGGGUGGUAUCUUGCCUGGUUUGAACCUCCAAAAGGAGAAAUCUAGGUUUUUCUACCAGCUUGUCCAGAUGUGAAGCAGGAAGGGAAGAAGUAGAGAGACUGAACAGCUGUCAAUAAACAUGAAAAAACAGAGUACAAAGGGGCGUUUGCAAAAGAAUUGGCCCAUGCUCUUCUAAAAUGUCAAUAAAAAGAGGGAAAAGACACAUAAACUGUGGGUAACUAAAGUUGAGAAAGCAAGAAGAAAAGACUGUGUGGGAGAGGAUAUCAUCAGCCUCUAAAUCAAAAGAAAUCCACAAAAGCUGAAAAUAAGAGGAUGAGCAAAAAAAAACAAAUCUAAACAGGCAAAUAUAAGCACAAGUAAAACAAGAAUUAACAUCUUGAUGUUAGACAAAAUUGAUAAAGUCAUUUUACAAUGACAAAAUUAGUCUAUAAUGAAAAUCAAAUAAUUAUAAAACUUUUUUAAACAGGUUCAGCCAAAAUUAUGAGUAAUUAUAACAUAAAAUGCUGAUCAUAGUAAACUCUGCUACUCCUUUCUGUAUUCAUUAAAAGCAUUGUUCAAAGAAAAAUUUAAAAACUCAUAAAUACACAUGUUAAUUCACCAGAAAGAAUGGAAAUCCAUUAAUUCUUGGACCAAAGGAGUUCAAAAAAGACUUUGGGAGUAUAAAAGAAAGGUUAAGAAGAGUAGAAGGAAAAUUAUUAAUAACAAAGACAACAAGAGAAAUCUAUUAAUAAUCAAGCAGAAAGAAUGGUGCAUGCAUGUCUGCUAAGUUGCUUCAUUCAUGUCUGACUGUUUGCGAUCUGAAGGGCU